ACUCAAAUGAAUUGACGGGGGCCCGCACAAGCGGCGGAGCAUGUGGAUUAAUUCGAUGCAACGCGAAGAACCUUACCUGGGUUUGACAUGCACAGGACGCGUCUAGAGAUAGGCGUUCCCUUGUGGCCUGUGUGCAGGUGGUGCAUGGCUGUCGUCAGCUCGUGUCGUGAGAUGUUGGGUUAAGUCCCGCAACGAGCGCAACCCUUAUCUUAUGUUGCCAGCGGGUAAUGCCGGGGACUCGUGAGAGACUGCCGGGGUCAACUCGGAGGAAGGUGGGGAUGACGUCAAGUCAUCAUGCCCCUUAUGUCCAGGGCUUCACACAUGCUACAAUGGCCGGUACAAAGGGCUGCGAUGCCGCAAGGUUAAGCGAAUCCUUUUAAAGCCGGUCUCAGUUCGGAUCGGGGUCUGCAACUCGACCCCGUGAAGUCGGAGUCGCUAGUAAUCGCAGAUCAGCAACGCUGCGGUGAAUACGUUCCCGGGCCUUGUACACACCGCCCGU
rnacentral:rRNA from 1 species